AGCUUCAGUAGCGUAUAUUAAAGUUGUUGCAGUUAAAAAGCUCGUAGUCGCAUUUCUGGCGAGAGGAUCCGGUCCGACCUUUUGGUGGGUUCUUGGGUCUCUUUCGCCAUCCUUGAGUGGUCCGUUCUGGCAUUAGGUUGUCGGAGCGUCAGCCGCUCAUCGUUUACUGUGAGAAAAUUAGAGUGUUCAAAGCAGGCUUAUGCCGUUGAAUAUAUUAGCAUGGAAUAAUAAGAUAGGACCUCGGUACUAUUUUGUUGGUUUGCGCACCAAGGUAAUGAUGAACAGGGACAGUUGGGGGUAUUUGUAUUUCGUUGUCAGAGGUGAAAUUCUUAGAUUUACGAAAGACAAACUACUGCGAAAGCAUUUACCAAGGAUGUUUUCAUUGAUCAAGAACGAAAGU
rnacentral:rRNA from 1 species